AGCAGCCGCGGUAAUUCCAGCUCCAAUAGCGUAUAUUAAAGUUGUUGCAGUUAAAAAGCUCGUAGUUGAAUUUCGGGAUCAAUAUGCCGGUCAUGACUUGGUAUGCACUGGUAUCUUUGAUUUCUCCCUUCUGACGAACUUUGAUGUCAUUAAUUUGGUGUCAUAGGGAAUCAGGACUGUUACUUUGAAAAAAUUAGAGUGUUUAAAGCAAGCUCACGCUUGAAUACAUUAGCAUGGAAUAAUGAAAUAGGACGUUUGAUUCUAUUUUGUUGGUUUCUAGGAUCGACGUAAUGAUUAAUAGGGAUAGUUGGGGGCAUUAGUAUUCAAUUGUCAGAGGUGAAAUUCUUGGAUUUUAUUGAAGACUAACUACUGCGAAAGCAUUUGCCAAGGAUGUUUUCAUUAAUCAAGAACGAAAGUUAGGGGAUCGAAGACGAUCAGAUACCGUCGUAGU
rnacentral:rRNA from 1 species